ACCCCACCCACCCCCGAAUCCUUGCCAGAAAUAGACCUUCUAGACUUCCCCUGACCGCAAGAGAUCGAAGUAUCGCAGAUCUUGCCUAGGGUUCCAUCACUAGGUUGUCAUAAUCAGAUUCCGCCGACUAAGGACCACGACUGCCUUGCCCAGGGAAUUAAGGAUGCGGCCAAUGUUCAAGCUUUCUCAAGCUUAAAUUUAAGGAAGUUAAGGGGCACGGAGAAAAACAGCAACGGCUGACCCGAAUUCAUUCCCUCCCCUCAAUUCGGCAGACCCGGAGCUACACUUUCCAGAACAACAGCGCCAGUCAAUUGACUUCGGACUAGGCCUUUUGGAUUCGGGAGUUCCGCAACGUGGAAACUAAAGGAGAAGCAUCUUAACUACCCGGCCCCAAUUUCCUUCACACAUACAAUCCAUUUGGUGCUGGGCCAGGAGAAAUGUGUAGCAAACAGUCUGUGAUCCUACCACCUGGACGCGUCAGAUCUCAGAAGCGAAGCAGGGUCCAACCUGACAGGAUCUCAUGGAGUCCAGACUGAUCUUAAACUCAACGCAUAUAACAUUAACUUCUUCUGCCUCAACCUCCCCAAGUACUUGGAUUAUAGCUGUGAACAACA